rnacentral:rRNA from 1 species
CGAAAUCCGGGGCACUCUAUGCUGAGAACUGAGACGAACCUGUACUUGUACGGGGAAGUGAUAGAUGCCAUGCUUCCAAGAAAAGCUCCUAAGCUUCAGUCAGUAAGGGAUCGUACCCGAAACCGACACAGGUGGUCAGGUCGAGAAGACCAAGGCGCUUGAGAGAACUCUGGUGAAGGAACUAGGCAAAAUAGUACCGUAACUUCGGGAGAAGGUACGCUGUUGAGGGUUAAGGAUUUACUCCGUAAGCCUUCGGCAGCCUCAGAAACUAGGCCGCUGCAACUGUUUAUUAAAAACAUAGCACUCUGCAAACACGAAAGUGGACGUAUAGGGUGUGAUGCCUGCCCGGUGCUGGAAGGUUAAUUGAUGGGGUUAGCUAACGCGAAGCUCUUGAUCGAAGCCCCAGUAAACGGCGGCCGUAACUAUAACGGUCCUAAGGUAGCGAAAUUCCUUGUCGGGUAAGUUCCGACCUGCACGAAUGGCAUAAUGAUGGCGGCGCUGUCUCCACCAGAGACUCAGUGAAAUCGAAAUCGCGGUG